rnacentral:rRNA from 1 species
AUUGAACGCUGGCGGAAUGCUUAACACAUGCAAGUCGAGCGGGCUGUAGCAAUACAGCUAGCGGCGGACGGGUGAGGAAUACAUAGGAAUCUGCCUCAGAGUGGGGGAUAGCCCGGGGAAACCCGGAUUAAUACCGCAUGAUGUCGUAAGACCAAAGCAGGGGACCGUAAGGCCUUGCGCUUUGAGAUGAGCCUAUGUCGGAUUAGCUAGUUGGCGGGGUAAAAGCCCACCAAGGCGACGAUCCGUAGCUGGUCUGAGAGGACGAUCAGCCACACCGGGAACUGAGACACGGUCCGGACC